GACGAACGCUGGCGGCGUGCUUAACACAUGCAAGUCGAACGGAAAGGCCCUGCUUUUGUGGGGUGCUCGAGUGGCGAACGGGUGAGUAACACGUGAGUAACCUGCCCUUGACUUUGGGAUAACUUCAGGAAACUGGGGCUAAUACCGGAUAGGAGCUCCUGCUGCAUGGUGGGGGUUGGAAAGUUUCGGCGGUUGGGGAUGGACUCGCGGCUUAUCAGCUUGUUGGUGGGGUAGUGGCUUACCAAGGCUUUGACGGGUAGCCGGCCUGAGAGGGUGACCGGCCACAUUGGGACUGAGAUACGGCCCAGACUCCUACGGGAGGCAGCAGUGGGGAUUAUUGCACAAUGGGCGGAAGCCUGAUGCAGCAACGCCGCGUGCGGGAUGACGGCCUUCGGGUUGUAAACCGCUUUCGCUUGUGACGAAGCGUGAGUGACGGUAAUGGGUAAAGAAGCACCGGCUAACUACGUG
rnacentral:rRNA from 1 species